rnacentral:lncRNA from 1 species
GAAGCCGUCCAGGAGCCACAGCCUGUGCCUGAGGCCGUUCCCGAGCAUGAGGACGUGCCUGAAGCUGCCGAAGAGGCUGCCAUGGAGGUGGAACCGGCGGAGCCAGUCGUAGCUCAAGUACCAACUGCCACAGUGGAUGACAUCUUACCCACACACGAGGAAAUCAAGGAGGAAGAGAGCAUAGAGCCGGCCAAGGUGGCUGUGGAUGACCACGUGGAGAAUGUCGAGCCCAGGGAGAGUGCUUCAGUCGCGAUCCUGCAGGAGGGAGAAAAGUCGGCAGUGCCAGAGAUGGAGAGUGGUGCACCGGAUUCCAUGCAUGCAACCGAUGCCACAGUGGACGACACACAGCGAGCACCUCCUGCCAGUGAGGACAUUCACGAGAACGUGGAAGAGGAGCAAAGCAAAGUCGAGGUGCAGCAUGAAGUUUCCGAACGCGAGGUCGAGCUCGCUGUCCCAGUAGAAGAACUCCCACAGUCGGGGAACAAAGAAGUCCAGGAGCCACAGCAUGUGCUUGAGGCCGUUCCCGAGACAGAGGCCGUGCCUGACGCUGCUGAAGAGGCGGCCAAGGAGGUGCAACCGGCCGAGCCAGUUGUAGCUCAAGUACCAACCGCGACAGUGGAUGACGUCUUACCCGCACACGAGGAAAUCAAGGAGGAAGAGAGCAUAGAGCCGGCCAAGGUGGCUGUGGAAGACCACGUGGAGAAUGUCGAGCCCAGGGAGAGUGCUUCAGUCGCGAUCCUGCAAGAGGGAGAAAAGUUGGCAGUGCCAGAGAUGGAGAGUGGUGCACCGGAUUCCAUGCAUGCAACAGAUGCCACAGUGGACGACACACAGCGAGCACCUCCUGCCAGUGACGACAUUCACGAGAACGUGGAGGAGGAGCAAAGCAAAGUCGAGGUGCAGCAUGAAGUUUCCGAACGCGAGGUCGUGCUUGCUGUCCCAGUAGAAAAACUCCCACAGUCGGGGAACAAAGAAGUCCAGGAGCCACAGAAUGUGCUUGAGGCCGUUUUCGAGACAGAGGCCGUGCCUGAGGCUUCUGAAGAGGCUGCCAAAGAGGUGCAACCAGCCGAGCCAGUCGUAGCUCAAGUACCAACCGCCACAGUGGAUGACAUCUUACCCACACACGAAGAAAUCAAGGAGGAAGAGAGCAUAGAGCCGGCCAAGGUGGCUCUGGAUGACAAGGUACAGAAGGUCGAGCCCCGGGAGAGUGCUUCAGUCGCGAUCCUGGACGAGGGAGAAAAGUUGGCGGUGCCAGAGAUUGACAGUGCUGCACCGGAUUCCAUGCAUGCAACAGAUGCCACCCUGGUGGACACACAGCGAGCAUCUUCUGCCAGUGAAGACAUUCACGAGAAUGUGGAAGAGGAGCAAACCAACGUCGCAGUGCUACAUGAAGUUUCCCAACGCGAGGUUGAGAUUGCCAUACCAGUAGAGGGACGCCCGCAGCUCGUGAACGAAGCCGUCCAGGAGCCACAGCCUGUGCCUGAGGCCGUUCCCGAGCAUGAGGACGUGCCUGAAGCUGCCGAAGAGGCUGCCAUGGAGGUGGAACCGGCGGAGCCAGUCGUAGCUCAAGUACCAACUGCCACAGUGGAUGACAUCUUACCCGCACACGAGGAAAUCAAGGAGGAAGAGAGCAUAGAGCCGGCCAAGGUGGCUGUGGAUGACCACGUGGAUAAUGUCAAGCCCAGGGAGAGUGCUUCAGUCGCGAUCCUGGACGAGGGAGAAAAGUUGGCGGUCCCAGAGAUCGAGAGUGCUGCACCGGAUUCCAUGCAUGCAACAGAUGCCACCCUGGAGGACACACAGCGAGCAUCUUCUGCCAGUGAAGACAUUCACGAGAAUGUGGAAGAGGAGCAAACCAACGUCGCAGUGGAACAUGAAGUUUCCGAACGCGAGGUUGAGAUUGCCAUACUAGUAGAGGGACUCCCGCAGUUGGUGAACGAAGCCGUGCAGGAGCCACAGCCUGUGCCUGAGGCCGUUCCCGAGCAUGAGGCGGAGCCUGAAGCUGCCGAAGAGGCUGCCAUGGAGGUUGAACCGGCGGAGCCAGUCGUAGCUCAAGAACCAACUGCCACAGUGGAUGACGUCUUACCCACACACGAGGAAAUCAAUGAGGAAGAGAGCAUAGAGCCGGCCAAGGUGGCUGUGGAUGACCACGUGGAGAAUGUCAAGCCCAGGGAGAGUGCUUCAGUCGCGAUCCUGGACGAGGGAGAAAAGUUGGCGGUGCCAGAGAUUGAGAGUGCUGCACCGGAUUCCAUGCAUGCAACAGAUGCCACCCUGGAGGACACACAGCGAGCAUCUUCUGCCAGUGAAGACAUUCACGAGAAUGUGGAAGAGGAGCAAACCAACGUCGCAGUGCCACAUGAAGUUUCCGAACGCGAGGUUGAGAUUGCCAUACCAGUAGAGGGACUCCCGCAGUUGGUGAACGAAGCCGUGCAGGAGCCACAGCCUGUGCCUGAGGCCGUUCCCGAGCAUGAGGCCGUGCCUGAAGCUGCCAAAGAGGCUGCCAUGGAGGUGGAACCGGCGGAGCCAGUCGUAGCUCAAGUACCAACUGCCACAGUGGAUGACAUCUUACCCACACACGAGGAAAUCAAUGAGGAAGAGAGCAUAGAGCCGGCCAAGGUGGCUGUGGAUGUCCACGUGGAGAAUGUCAAGCCCAGGGAGAGUGCUUCAGUCGCGAUCCUGGACGAGGGAGAAAAGUUGGCGGUGCCAGAGAUUGACAGUGCUGCACCGGAUUCCAUGCAUGCAACAGAUGCCACCCUGGAGGACACACAGCGAGCAUCUUCUGCCAGUGAAGACAUUCACGAGAAUGUGGAAGAGGAGCAAACCAACGUCGCAGUGCAACAUGAAGUUUCCCAACGCGAGGUUGAGAUUGCCAUACCAGUAGAGGGAAGCCCGCAGCUCGUGAACGAAGCCGUCCAGGAGCCACAGCCUGUGCCUGAGGCCGUUCCCGAGCAUGAGGCCGUGCCUGAAGCUGCCGAAGAGGCUGCCAUGGAGGUGGAACCGGCGGAGCCAGUCGUAGCUCAAGUACCAACUGCCACAGUGGAUGACGUCUUACCCACACACGAGGAAAUCAAUGAGGAAGAGAGCAUAGAGCCGGCCAAGGUGGCUGUGGAUGACCACGUGGAGAAUGUCAAGCCCAGGGAGAGUGCUUCAGUCGCGAUCCUGGACGAGGGAGAAAAGUUGGCGGUGCCAGAGAUUGAGAGUGCUGCACCGGAUUCCAUGCAUGCGACAGAUGCCACCUUGGAGGACACACAGCGAGCAUCUUCUGCCAGUGAAGACAUUCACGAGAAUGUGGAAGAGGAGCAAACCAACGUCGCAGUGCCACAUGAAGUUUCCGAACGCGAGGUUGAGAUUCCCGUCCCAGUAGAAGUACUCCUGCAGUCAGGGAACGAAGAAGUCCAGGAGCCACAGCAUGCGCUUGGGACCGUUCCCGAGCCAGAGGCCGUGCCUGAGGCUUCUGAAGAGGCUGCCAACGAGGUGGAGUCGGCCGAGCCACUCGUAGCUCAAGAACCAACCGCCACAGUGGAUGACAUCUUACCCGCACACGAGGAAAUCAAGGAGAAAGAGAGCAUAGAGCCGGCCAAGGUGGCUCUGGAUGACCACGUGGAGAAUGUCGAGUCCAGGGAGAGUGCUUCAGUCGCGAUCCUGGACGAGGGAGAAAAGUUGGCGGUGCCAGAGAUUGACAGUGCUGCACCGGAUUCCAUGCAUGCAACAGAUGCCACCCUGGAGGACACACAGCGAGCAUCUUCUGCCAGUGAAGACGUUCACGAGAACGUGGAAGAGGAGCAAGCGAACGUCGCGGUGCCACAUCAAGUUUCCGAACGAGAGCUUGAGAUUGCCGUCCCAGUAGAAGGACUCCCACAGUUGGUGAACGAAGAAGUCCAGCAGCCACAGCCUGUGCUUGAGGCCGUUCCCGAGACAGAGGCCGUGCCUGAGGCUUCUGAAGAGGCUGCCAAAGAGGUGCAACCAGCCGAGCCACUUGUAGCUCAAGUACCAACCGCGAAAGUGGAUGACAUCUUACCCACACACGAGGAAAUCAAGGAGGAAGAGAGCAUAGAGCCGGCCAAGGUGGCUGUGGAUGACCACGUGGAGAAUGUCGAGCCCAGGGAGAGUGCUUCAGUCGCGAUCCUGCAGGAGGGAGAAAAGUUGGCGGUGCCAGAGAUUGAGAGUGCUGCACCGGAUUCCAUGCAUGCGACAGAUGCCACCCUGGAGGACACACAGCGAGCAUCUUCUGCCAGUGAAGACAUUGACGAGAACGUGGAAGAGGAGCAAACCAACGUUGACGUGCCACAUCCAGUAUCCGAACGCGAGCUUGAGAUUCCCAUUCCAGUAGAAGGACUCCCGCAGUUGGGGAACAUAGAAGUCCAGGAGCCAGAGCAUGCGCUAGAGGCCGUUCUCGAGCUAGGGGCCGUGCCUGAGGCUUCUGAAGAGGCUCCCAAGGAGGUGGAACCGGCCGAGCCAGUCGUAGCUCAAGUACCAACUGCCACAGUCGAUGAUGUCUUACCUGGACACGAGGAAAUCAAGGAGGAAGAGAGCAUAGAGCCGGCCAAGGUGGCUCUGGAUGACCAGGUGGAGAAUGUCGAGCCCAGGGAGAGUGCUUCAGUCGCGAUCCUGGAUGAGGGAGAAAAGUUGGCGGUGCCAGAGAUCGAGAGUGCUGCACCGGAUUCCAUGCAUGCGACAGAUGCCACCCUGGAGGACACACAGCGAGCAUCUUCUGCCAGUGAAGACAUUGACGAGAACGUGGAAGAGGAGCAAACCAACGUUGACGUGCCACAUCCAGUAUCCGAACGCGAGCUUGAGAUUCCCAUUCCAGUAGAAGGACUCCCGCAGUUGGGCAACAAAGAAGUCCAGGAGCCAGAGCAUGCGCUAGAGGCCGUUCUCGAGCUAGAGGCCGUGCCUGAGGCUUCUGAAGAGGCUCCCAAGGAGGUGGAACCGGCCGAGCCAGUCGUAGCUCAAGUACCAACUGCCACAGUCGAUGACGUCUUACCCGGACACGAGGAAAUCAAGGAGGAAGGGAGCAUAGAGCCGGCCAAGGUGGCUGUGGAUGACCAAGUGGAGAAUGUCGAGCGCAGGGAGAGUGCUUCAGUCGCAAUCCCGGACGAGGGAGAAAAGUUGGCAGUGCCAGAGAUGGAGAGUGGUGCACCGGAUUCCGUGCAUGCGACAGAUGGCACAGUGGAGGAGUCACAGCGAGCAUCUCCUGCCAGUGAGGGCAUUCACGAAAACGUGGAAGAGGAGCAAACCAAAGUCGAGGUGCCAGAUGAAGUUUCCAAACGUGAGGUCAAGCUUUCCGUCCCAGUAGAAGAACUCCUGCAGUCAGGGAACGAAGCCGUCCAGGAGCCACAGCCUGUGCUUGAGGCCGUGCCUGAGGAUUCUGAAGAGGCUGCCAAGGAGGUGGAACCGGCCGAGGCAGUCGUAGCUCAAGUACCAACUGCCACAGUGGAUGACGUCUUACCUGCACACGAGGAAAUCAAGGAGGAAGAGAGCAUAGAGCCGGCCAAGGUGGCUCUGGAUGACCAGGUGGAGAAUGUCGAGCCCAAGGAGAGUGCUUCAGUCGCGAUCCUGGACGAGGGAGAAAAGUUGGCGGUGCCAGAGAUCGAGAGUGGUGCACCGGAUUCCAUGCAUGCGACAGAUGCCACAGUGGAGGACACACAGCGAGCAUCUUCUGCCAGUGAAGACGUUCACGAGAACGUGGAAGAGGAGCAAGCGAACGUUGCGGUGCCACAUCAAGUUUCCGAACGAGAGCUUGAGAUUGCCGUCCCAGUAGAAGGACUCCCACAGUUGGUGAACGAAGCCGUCCAGGAGCCACAACCUGUGCCUGAGGCCGUUCCCGAGCCAGAGGCCGUGCCUGAGGCUGCUGAAGAGGCUGCCAAGGAGGUGGAAGCGGCCAAGCCAGUCGUAGCUCAAGUACCAACCGCCACAGUGGAUGACAUCUUACCCACACACGAGGAAAUCAAGGAGGAAGGGAGCAUAGAGCCGGCCAAGGUGGCUCUGGAUGACCACGUGGAGAAUGUCGAGCCCAGGGAGAGUGCUUCAGUCGCGAUCCUGGACGAGGGAGAAAAGUUGGCAGUGCCAGAGAUCGAGAGUGGUGCACCGGAUUCCAUGCAUGCGACACAUGGUACAAUGGAGGACUCACAGCGAGCAUCUUCUGCCAUUGAGGACAUUCACGAGAACGUGGAAGAGGAGCAAACAAAAGUCGAGGUGCCACAUGAAGUUUCCGAACGCGAGGUCGAGCUUGCCGUCCCAGUGGAACAUCUCCCACAGUCAGGGAACGAAGAAGUCCAUGAGCCACAGCCUGUGCCUGAGGCCGUUCCCGAGCAUGAGGCCGUGCCUGAGGCUGCUGAAGAGGCUUCCAAGGAGGUGGAACCGGCCGAGCCAGUCGUAGAUGAAGUACCAACCGCCACAGUGGAUGACAUCUUAC